AGCUUUCGGACUCCUGUAAACAUUCUUUUGUCGAUACGUAAGUGAACUACUGUAGUAUAAUCUACAUCUUCAGCAUUAUGAAUCUUUUGAUGGUUGCAUUGUUCGCGGCAGUUCUUCUGGGUGCUGAGAGCAGAAGACGCACACGUUUGUCUUGCAAUAUCUACGGCAACGGAAUAUAUGGGGCUACUGAUGGUGUUGAGGAAGAUACCUCUAUAGUGGGAUGCAAUGCCGGUCAUAUACACUGGAGUUACCCCAGAGGCAAAUUCAUAUUAACAUUUCUUAACGAUGGAAGUUCUGACAGAUUUCGAGUUUGUUUAAAGAAAAGAACAAGCAGUUUUGGCAGUAUAAGAGAUAUCAGCAUGGGCUUCACGCCUACAGAUCUAACACUGGAAGGUGACGAAUUGUGUACGUGUCAACGACCAAACAGUAAUGUAGUUGUAGAAAUACAGGCACCAGAACAGCUUCUAUACAGAGCUUCGUUACAAUACAGAAUAGAUCGACAAUAAUCAACUCUAUAGUCUUCACAUGCAUGUAUUUAGAUUAAUUGUGCUAUCUAUAUUUUGCAAAAUAAAACAUUGCUGAAAA